GUUAGAAGAAGGAAAGACACCAUAAAUCAGAGGAGAAAAAAAAACAGAGUAAAAUAAUAGAAAAGGUCAAUACAACUAAGAGCUGACUCUUUAAAAAGAUAAACAAAAUUGACAAAACUUUAGCCAGAUUCACCAAGAAACAAUAGAGAGGGCCCAAAUAAAUAAAAUCGGAAAUAAAAAAGGGGAAGUUACAAUCAACACCACAGAAAUACAAAGGAUCAUAAGGAUCAGACCAUGAACAAUUAUACGCCAUUAAAAUGGACAACCUAGAAAAUGGACAAAUUCUUGGAAGUGUACAAUCUCCCAAGACUGAGUAGUAAGAAAUAGAAAAUAUGAACAAAUUACCAGUAAUGAGAUUAAGUCAGUAACUUUUUAAAAACUCUCAUUUGACAGAGACUUAUAGGCAGACAAAGAAGUGAGAAAACUUUGUAGUGGAAGAAGGGAGGGCUUCAGAUUCUAUUAUCCUUGUGGCUACCAAGGAAGCCAGCCAUCUCCUGUCAUCACUGGCCAACCCUGGCCUACUGAACUCAAUCAUAUUAGUGCCUGGAGGCAUUCCUUUUUGCUUUGUUAUACAACACCUCUCAAGGCCCUCCCCAUACUUCAUAUUACUGGGCUUUAGUUACUGUCCCCUUUUCCCAACAACUCUCCCAAGAACCCCAAAUGCCAGCUGCCUCAGAAGAUAUGCCCCCAUGCAUCAGGUAGAGUUUCAACAUUGGACACGAGCUGAAUUAAGAGCUAUUAGUUACACACUACUAUAUAUAAAGUAGAUAAACGACAAGGACCUACUGUAUAGCUUAGGGAACUAAACGCAAUAUCUUGUAAUAACCUAUAAUGGAAAAGAAUCUGAAAGAAGUGUGUGUGUGUAUAGCAUCACCUUGCUGUACACCUGAAACUAACACAUUUUAAAUCAUCUAUACUUUAAUUUUUUUUAAAGAGCUAUUACUAAAAAUUAUUCUAGAUUCCGACAAGACCAGCAAAUAUUCAUAGAAGAAUUUAAAACUAUUUUGGGUGCAUAUGACUCAGAGUUACCAAUACCUGCCACAUAUCAUUCAUAUACAUAUUGGUCAGAACAGCGGAUGUUAAUUCCUGGAUGGGAAAGAUUGGAUUGAUCUAGGAAAGGACUUACAGGAUCUCUCUUACCAAAAGAGAGGGUCCAGAAACAAGCCUGAAAAGUUGGGCAAAGUCUCCUAAAAACCAUACCUGAAAUAUUUCCAAUAAAAUCGAUACAAGUGUUACUGUUUCUAUAUUAAGCCCUGCCACCAUUGCUCAGCCUCUUCCUUCAAGCAAACAUAUACCACACAGGUUGAUCGAUAUUUUUAAAACUCACAGAUUUUCCCUGUCUCCCAGCCUUUAACUGUAACCCUUGAGC